GUAGGUGGCAAGCGUUGUCCGGAAUUAUUGGGCGUAAAGCGCGCGCAGGCGGUUCUUUAAGUCUGAUGUGAAAGCCCACGGCUCAACCGUGGAGGGUCAUUGGAAACUGGAGAACUUGAGUACAGAAGAGGAAAGCGGAAUUCCACGUGUAGCGGUGAAAUGCGUAGGGAUGUGGAGGAACACCAGUGGCGAAGGCGGCUUUCUGGUCUGUAACUGACGCUGAGGCGCGAAAGCGUGGGGAGCAAACAGGGAUUAGAUACCCUGGUAGUCCACGCCGUAAACGAUGAGUGCUAAGUGUUAGGGGGUUUCCCGCCCCUUAGUGCUGCAGCUAACGCAUUAAGCACUCCGCCUGGGGAUACGGCCGCAAGGCUG
rnacentral:rRNA from 1 species